rnacentral:rRNA from 1 species
UACGGGGGAGCAAGCGUUGUUCGGAUUUACUGGGCGUAAAGGGCGCGUAGGCGGUCAGCACAAGUCAGUUGUGAAAUCUCCGGGCUUAACUCGGAAAGGUCAACUGAUACUGUGCGACUAGAGUGCGGAAGGGGCAACUGGAAUUCUUGGUGUAGCGGGUGAAAAUGCGUAGAUAUCAAGAGGAACACCUGCGGCGAAGGCGGGUUGCUGGGCCGACACUGACGCUGAGGCGCGAAAGCCAGGGGAGCGAACGGG